rnacentral:rRNA from 1 species
UACGUAGGGUGCGAGCGUUUAAUCGGAAUUACUGGGCGUAAAGCGUGCGCAGGCGGUUGUGCAAGACAGAUGUGAAAUCCCCGGGCUUAACCUGGGAACUGCAUUUGUGACUGCACGGCUAGAGUGUGUCAGAGGGGGGUAGAAUUCCACGUGUAGCAGUGAAAUGCGUAGAUAUGUGGAGGAAUACCGAUGGCGAAGGCAGCCCCCUGGGAUAACACU